rnacentral:rRNA from 1 species
UACAGAGGUCCCGAGCGUUGUUCGGAGUUACUGGGCGUAAAGAGUGCGUAGGCGGUUUUCUAAGUUUGGUGUGAAAUCUCCCGGCUCAACUGGGAGGGUGCGCCGAAGACUGGAAGGCUUGAGUAUGGGAGAGGUAAGCGGAAUUCAUGGUGUAGCAGUGAAAUGCGUAGAGAUCAUGAGGAAGACCAGUGGCGAAGGCGGGUCUCUGGACAGUUCCUGACACUGAGGCACGAAGGCCAGGGGAGCAAACGGG